AGAAACUAAUCUUAAUCUCUCUGUUCUUCGCUUCACUCUCAGUUAGUUUAUUUCUGAAAUUUGGUUCUUCUUGAUUUUUAUUGUUUUUCUUCUUCUUCUAAAUUUGGGGAUAUUGUUUGUGAUUAGAGAUCGGAGGUUGUAGGUCUUUGUUUGGAUGCAUUUUCAAUUAAUAUACCUUAUGUUGGUAAAUUUCUCAAGGGUGCAGUUCUAGUGAAACGACCAGCUCUUCCAGAAGGAAACAAGCAAAUAUUGCUAUGUAGGUAAGUCUCUCGGAUAGAGAUAAGGAGGAUUUGGCUUGGGGAAUCUGCUAAAGAAUGCCAACACGGUAUCAGAGCUUCUAUCAGCUCAAGGUGCCUUAUGUGUACGAGGUUACUAGAAUUCACCUGAGAGGGCAGCGUAAGCUCAAAUACUUUGAAUGGUUGGAGAGACAGAUUUGACAAAUCGGCCUUUCUGACUUGAAGGAGAAAUUUCAUUUUCCUCAGGGUGCAGAUUCUGCAGUUUGGCAGAUGCUCCAUGAGGGUACCCGUUCGCUUCUGGUACAACCAGUGCCAGGAGAUCCUAACUCCACUGCUUAUGAGACAACAAAGAAAAUUGGGGGAUUCAUCUUAUUGGCGUCCUGCAUGAGUUACACACACAUUGAUAGAGACAGCGUGGAUAGGUGCAAGAAACUGAGUUAAUAUUGUGUCUUAACUAUAAGAAGGAGUCUCCUUUUAUUGUGUCUUAACUAUAAUCUCACUGAGGUGCUGAAUUGGCCUGAGAGAAAUUUUGAUUUUUUAUAUCUGUUAUUUGCUCAAUCUUGUUUAUGGAUGUCAUGGGAAUAGCAUUUUUAUCUUCUAUAAAUAUUCUUGUGUUAUAUCA